GCCCCAGACUCCUACGGGAGGCAGCAGUGAGGAAUAUUGGUCAAUGGGCGGGAGCCUGAACCAGCCAAGUCGCGUGAGGGAAGACGGUCCUAUGGAUUGUAAACCUCUUUAGGCGGGGAGCAAUGCCGGGCACGCGUGCCCGGAGGGAGAGUACCCGCAGAAUAAGCAUCGGCUAAUUCCGUGCCAGCAGCCGCGGUAAUACGGAAGGGCCGGGCGUUAUCCGGAUUUAUUGGGUUUAAAGGGAGCGUAGGCCGGCUUUUAAGUCAGCUGUGAAAGUCCGCGGCUCAACCGUGGAAUUGCAGUUGAAACUGGAGGCCUUGAGUGCACACAGGGAUGCCGGAAUUCAUGGUGUAGCGGUGAAAUGCUUAGAUAUCAUGAAGAACUCCGAUCGCGAAGGCAAGUGUCCGGGGUGCAACUGACGCUGAGGCUCGAAAGUGCGGGUAUCAAACAGGAUUAGAUACCCUAGUA
rnacentral:rRNA from 1 species